rnacentral:rRNA from 1 species
CUACGGGGGGCAGCAGUGAGGAAUAUUGCGCAAUGGGCGAAAGCCUGACGCAGCAAUACCGCGUGAGUGAGGAAGGUCCUUUGGAUUGUAAAGCUCUGUGGAGUGGGAAGAUAAUGACGGUACCACUCUAGAAAGCACCGGCUAACUACGUGCCAGCAGCCGCGGUAAUACGUAGGGUGCAAGCGUUGUUCGGAAUUAUUGGGCGUAAAGCGGAUGUAGGUGGUUUAUUAAGCCAGAUGUGAAAGCCCAGGGCUCAACCCUGGACGAGCAUUUGGAACUGGUAGACUAGAGUGUGUUAGGGAGUGCGGAAUUCCUAGUGUAGCGGUGAAAUGCGUAGAUAUUAGGAGGAACAUUCAUGGCGAAGGCGGCGCUCUGGGGCGACACUGACACUGAGAUCCGAAAGCAUGGGUAGCAAACAGGAUUAGAUACCCGAGUAGUC